AUGGCUCGAACAUCGAAGUCCAACCCUGAUAUAAAAAGGCCCCCGAAUCAUUUCAAUGGACAGAAGAAGUACUACUACCAGCAAAACAAUUGCAGUGACAGUCCCUCACUCUACUCUUCGACUCUCACACUCGCUCACGACGUAGGGUUCCCGUUUUCUGAAAAUUCUUCAACAAGGUUCAAGUAGAACCACUUUCUCAUGGAUUCGUCUUCAGCUUCGUCUCUGCAACUAGCCAUGGCGGCCUUGGUGGGAGCCUCGUUCAUGGCCAUCUCCGCCUUCUACUUCCACAAGCGCAGCGUCGACCAGGUCCUCAACCGCCUCAUCGAGAUCCGCCGUAACCGCCCUCUCAAUUCCGUUAACAACCACGAAGACGAAGAAGAAGACAGAGAAGCAGAGGAGGAGAUAGACGGCGACGGAGGCUCCGGUUCCGACGAGGAAAUGGUGAUCGAUCGGAAAAUGUGGUCCCGGGACCUUUCGAAGUCGCUCGACGAGAACUCGCUUCGCGGCUAUAGAAUCUCGUCGUCGCUGCCCAAUGUGGCUCCCGGAAACGAUUUGUUGGAUGAGAACCACAAGUUCGAUCAGCCGAUGAGAGCUCGAGCCAAAAGUUAUGCUGCUACAUCGCUCGAUAAACUCAAUUUGAUCCCCUCGGGGCUUCCGCCUCUUCGAUUUGAUCAGAGAGAUGGACUGGAUCGGUUUGUUAAUCAUUCUGCAAAGUAUACGAGGGUGGCAUCUGUUGGUAGGCUAGUGACGCCAAGGUCCCCCGGUGGCAAUGCUUUUGAUGAUGAUGGGGAUUCAGACGACGAUGGAACCGAGCUUACAAAUGGAGAAGACAUGCUUUUUGACUAUGGAAACAUAGAUUCUCCAAUUGAUUUCACAAAUGCACAAGAUGUAAAUUCAAACAAUCAAAAAACUUGCAGCAUUCAAAAAAUAGAUGAAGCUAGGAAGUGUAUCCAAGAUAAAAUGUGUAUGGCAACUGCAACUGAAGCAAAAGCUAGUGUAGAUCUGCAUGGUGAUGGAAAGGUAGAUACACCUUCAGUGCACAUGGUGGGGAAUGAUCCUAAUUUUGAAAACACCGUUUUAGCUCUAAGAGCAACACUCCAUGAACAUGUGAGGUUGGAGUCAACAAGCAGAGAAGAGGAAGAAGUACAAAAAAUGAUUCGUGAAUGUUUAGAUUUGCGUAAAAAUUAUGUCUAUAGGGAACUGGUUGCUCCAUGGAAGAAGGAAACUGAGGGGAAAUCGAGUGCAUCCAAUAUGAACAGUGAUCCCUUUCACUUUGAACCUGUUGAAGCAACAGCUCACCGUUUCAAAAUGGUAGAUGGAGUUGUACAUGUUUAUGCAAGUGAAAAUGAUACUAUGGAUCUUUCCCUGUUGCAAGUUCAACAAGAUUUUUCACUGAUCUGCAUCAACUCCUAAAAAUAACAUCUCUUGGAAAUGUUCGCUCUUCAUGCCAUCAUAGACUACGAUUUCUUGAGGAGAAGUUCCGCCUUCAUCUGUUAGUAAAAGGAGAUAGUGAGUUUCUGCUUCAAAAGAGUGCGCCACACCGUGAUUUUUACAAUGUCAGAAAGGUUGAUACACAUGUGCAUCAUUCUGCAUGCAUGAACCAGAAACAUCUCCUACGCUUCAUCAAGUCAAAGCUAGGAAAAGAACCUGAUGAGGUUGUCAUAUUCAGAGAUGGAAAGUAUAUGACCCUUAAGGAAGUUUUUGAGAGCUUGGACUUGUCAGGGCAUGAUCUUAAUGUUGAUUUGUUGGAUGUCCAUGCUGAUAAAAGCACAUUCCAUCGAUUUGACAAAUUCAACCUUAAGUAUAAUCCUUGUGGACAGAGCAGACUCCGAGAGAUAUUCUUAAAGCAGGACAAUCUUAUCCAAGGUCGGUUUUUGGCAGAAGUAACCAAGCAAGUUUUAGUUGAUCUUGAAGCAAGCAAAUACCAGAUGGCUGAGUACAGGAUUUCCAUUUAUGGAAGGAAACAAAGUGAAUGGGACCAGAUGGCGAGUUGGUUUGUUAAUAAUGCUAUCUAUAGUGAGACAGCUGUAUGGUUAAUUCAGCUACCGCGGCUAUAUAAUGUGUACAAGAAAUUGGGAAUUGUUACCUCUUUUCAGAAUAUUUUAGAUAACGUUUUUAUUCCACUAUUUGAAGUCACAGUGGAUCCAAAUUCUCAUCCUCAAUUACAUUUGUUCCUGAUGCAGGUGGUGGGUUUCGAUCUUGUAGAUGAUGAAAGUAAACCAGAACGGCGUCCUACUAAGCAUAUGCCUACACCGGCCGAAUGGACCAAUGAGUUCAAUCCUGCAUAUUCCUACUAUGCUUAUUACUGCUAUGCAAACUUGUAUACUCUCAACAAGCUUCGUGAAUCAAAAGGAAUGCCAACAAUAAAACUUCGGCCCCACUGUGGAGAGGCGGGUGAUGUUGACCAUUUGGCUGCUGCUUUCCUUCUAUGCCAUAAUAUAUCUCAUGGGAUUAAUCUGCGAAAAUCUCCAGUUUUGCAGUACUUGUAUUACCUUGCACAGAUUGGUUUGGCCAUGUCGCCUUUGAGCAAUAACUCCCUUUUCUUGGACUAUCAUCGCAACCCUUUUCCAAUGUUCUUCCAGCGUGGCCUAAAUGUCUCGCUCUCAAGUGAUGACCCUUUGCAAAUCCAUUUAACAAAAGAAGCUCUUGUGGAAGAGUAUAGUGUUGCAGCACAGGUCUGGAAGCUCAGUGCUUGUGACCUCUGCGAGAUAGCUAGAAAUUCUGUCUAUCAGUCUGGAUUUUCACAUUCAGCAAAGUUGCAUUGGCAUGGUGAUAAAUAUUUCUUGACUGGCCCUGAAGGAAAUGAUAUUCACAAAACAAAUGUUCCCCAAAUAAGGAUUGAAUUUCGAUAUAAGACAUGGAAGGAUGAGAUGCAGUAUGUCUACUCAGAAAAAGCCAGCCUUCCUGAAGAAAUAGUCCCAUGAAGAAAACAAUAUAGAUUUCACUGUAUCCUGGUAGCCAAUGAUGCUAAUGAAAUGUGGAGUUAAAUUAGGGUUGAUGUCAAUAUUUAUAAUGGCUUAUAACUGCCAAAUUCUGUUGUAAAUUUAUUUAAGACCCUUCUUCUGAGUUCUAAGUUCUAAUUCACUGCUUCAUUCAAUAGAAAAGUAAUAGAGUAGUAGUUUCUAGAGGGAAAAUUAUUAGAGCUUUAUACAAUUUUGUUAGGCCCAUAUAAAAAUGUCCCAUCAGAAAUACCAGCUUAGCCAGUUUUUUGUUCA